CCUACGGGGGGCAGCAGUGGGGGAUAUUGCACAAUGGGGGAAACCCUGAUGCAGCGACGCCGCGUGAGUGAAGAAGUAUUUCGGUAUGUAAAGCUCUGUCAGCAGGGAAGAAAAUGACAGUACCUGACCAAGAAGCCCCGGCUAACUACGUGCCAGCAGCCGCGGUAAUACGUAGGGGGGCAAGCGUUAUCCGGAUUUACUGGGUGUAACGGGAGCGUAGACGGUUAUGUAAGUCUGGAGUGAAAGCCCGGGGCCCAACCCCGGGACUGCUUUGGAAACUGUGUAACUGGAGUGCAGGAGGGGCAGGCGGAAUGCCUGGUGUAGCGGUGAAAUGCGUAGAUAUCAGGAGGAACACCGGCGGCGAAGGCGGCCUGCUGGACUGAAACUGACGUUGAGGCUCGAAAGCGUGGGGAGCAAACAGGAUUAGAUACCCUUGUAGUC
rnacentral:rRNA from 1 species